AAUCAACGCUGGCGGCGUGCCUCAGACAUGCAAGUCGAACGCGAAAGUUUCCUUCGGGAGAUGAGUAGAGUGGCGCACGGGUGAGUAACACGUGAGUAAUUUACCUUCGGGUGGGGAAGUACUAACCGGAAACGGUUGUUAAUACCGCAUAAUGCAGCGGCAUCAAUGAUGACAGUUGUUAAAGCGGGGGAGUUGGAGCAAUCCGACCUCGCGCCUGAAGAGAAGCUCGCGGCAGAUUAGCUAGUUGGUAAGGUAA
rnacentral:rRNA from 1 species